UUCGGCGCCGGGAGCGGAUGUCUUCGAAGAAACGCGGGGGCUGCUCGGCCGGAGACGGGACUGGCCUCCUCCACCGGUUCCGGCGUCCGCCCCAGAGAGUGGGAUGGGCGAGUGCCAGGCUGGCCUGGAAACAGCAGAAGGCCUGGGGGGCCCGGCCCGGUUCACCGGCUCGUUCCCCUUCUUUUCUUGUGGUUCCCCCGUGGGGGACCUUUAGAUUAAUUGGGAAUCACUUUCUCCUUCGGAAUAAACGCCAGAUCGCAGCUGCGACCCCAUGCCCAGUGCCAGAUGGCUUGUGGUGUUAGCCGUGAUGGCAUGGCUGAUGCGUAAUGCUAAGCAGUAAACCAUGGCUGAAUGACCAGCUGAACCACUUUAUGGGUUUGGGGGCUCUGUGGCCUGAGACCCUGACCGCAUGCUUGCUUUGUCCCUGCAGGUGCAGAUAGUGCCAGGUCUGGCAGCGAGGCUGCCUUGAGGGCUGCACGAUACGCCAGCCCCAUGGUGAACGAUUGAGAAGGUCAUUGGGGGUGAGCCCCUCUGCCUGCCUGCCUGCCUGCCUGUCUUUUAGGACAGCCCCUAGGAGCCCUGAAGGCCUGAUUUUGCUGUUCCUGGCAAGGGACAUCCUCUGCACACACCCUGCUUUCCCCUUGCUGAGCGGAGCCAAGUGCUGGCAGGUUCCGAGGGAUGAGCUGCUUCCUGUGCCAUGUGACUUUGCCCCCAAGAGAAAACAGUCCCCACAGGAGCCCAAGGAACAGCGAAUGCUCCAGAGCUGCAGAAGGUCUGCUUUGAAAAAGGUUAAGAAUUUCCCAAAAUGGCUUAUGAGCAAGAUAAACCAUGAUCAAUAAAAACAGAAUACAUAUUA